AUAUAUAUAUAUAUAUAUUUGUUAUAUAUAGUCUUUAUAUCUUUUCAUUUACACAUGGGAAUCUAAGAAUCCAAACAGGAACCAUAAGAAUAUAUAGGAGUACCCAUUACGACCUCUCCAUUCGUUUCGUCUCAUAUUCACCUCAGGGGGAGCCAUUGGCACUGUUUCGUCUUCAUGGCUCGUCAUGCAGUUUCCUCUCCAGGAGGAAUUGAAGAAGUUGAGCGAGUAAGUGGGGAGGGCCAGUUAUAAACGACGAAGAAGAAGAGGAGGCUAUAGACGUGGCCCUAGACAACUGUAUAUUUUCUUAAAACCUUGCUGCCAUAAAGUGAAGUUCUUGCGAAGCAAUUUUUUUUUGUCUAUUUUUCUUUCUUUGACCAUAAAGUCAACAUUGUAGGAGUUUAUUUUUCUUUCUUUGACUGCCAUAAAGUCAACGUUGUAGGAAUCAAUUUUUGUUUACCUCAUAUAGUUUUUGUAGUAUUAUUAAAAAGUCUUAUUCAUUGAAUGUGUGUUUUUGUA